rnacentral:rRNA from 1 species
ACGUAGGGGGCAAGCGUUGUCCGGAUUUACUGGGUGUAAAGGGCGCGCAGGCGGGUUGACAAGUCAGAGGUGAAAUCCUACAGCUUAACUGUAGAACUGCCUUUGAGACUGUCAAUCUUGAGUACGGAAGAGAGAGAUGGAAUUCCAGGUGUAGUGGUGAAAUACGUAGAUAUCUGGAAGAACACCAGUGGCGAAGGCGGUCUCUUGGUCCAUUACUGACGCUAAGGCGCGAAAGCGUGGGGAGCAAACAGG